UUGUUCGGAAUCACUGGGCGUAAAAGGGAGCGUAGGCGGCGUGGUAAGUCAGAUGUGAAAUCCCGGGGCUCAACCCCGGAACUGCAUCCGAUACUGCCGUGCUAGAGGAUUGGAGAGGUAGCUGGAAUUCUUGGUGUAGCAGUGAAAUGCGUGGAUAUCAAGAGGAACACUCGUGGCGAAAGCGAGCUACUGGACAACUCCUGACGCUGAGGCUCGAAGGCUAGGGUAGCGAAAGGGAUUAGAUACCCCUGUAGUCCUAGCAGUAAACGGUGCACGCUUGGUGUGAGGGGAAUCGACCCCCCUUGUGCCGGAGCUAACGCGUUAAGCGUGCCGCCUGGGAAGUACGGUCGCAAGACUAAAACUCAAAGAAAUUGACGGGGACCCGCACAAGCGGUGGAGUAUGUGGCUUAAUUCGAUGCAACGCGAAGAACCUUACCAAGGCUUGACAUGCAUCUCUAAACACGUGAAAGCGUGUGACCCUUCGGGGAAUUUGCACAGGUGCUGCAUGGCCGUCGUCAGCUCGUGUCGUGAGAUGUUGGGUUAAGUCCCGCAACGAGCGCAACCCUUGUGAUUAGUUGCCAGCACGUUAAGGUGGGAACUCUAGUCAGACUGCCCAGAUCAACUGGGAGGAAGGUGGGGACGACGUCAGGUCAGUAUGGCCCUUACGCCUUGGGCUGCACACGUACUACAAUGCCCAGCACAAUGAGAACCGAUACCGCGAGGUGGAGGAAAUCUGUAAAACUGGGCUCAGUUCGGAUUGGAGGCUGCAACUCGCCUCCAUGAAGUUGGAAUCGCUAGUAAUGGGGCAUCAUCUACGGCCCCGUGAAUACGUUCCCGGGUCUUGUACACACCGCCCGUCACAUCAUGGAAGCCGGUCGCACCCGAAGUGCCCGUACCAACCGCAAGGGGGUAGGGUCCUAAGGUGUAGCUGGUAACUGGGAUGAAGUCGUAACAAGGUAGC
rnacentral:rRNA from 1 species